rnacentral:rRNA from 1 species
GUACGGGAGGCAGCAGUGGGGAAUAUUGCUUAAUGGGCGCAAGCCUGAAGCAGCAACGCCGCGUGUGCGAUGAAGGCCUUCGGGUUGUAAAGCACUUUUAGCAGGGAAAAGGAAGGAUGGUACCUGCAGAAUAAGCCUCGGCUAACUACGUGCCAGCAGCCGCGGUAAAACGUAGGAGGCGAGCGUUAUCCGGAUUUACUGGGUGUAAAGCGCGUGCAGGCGGUCGGUCAAGUUGGAUGUGAAAGCUCCCGGCUCAACUGGGAGAGGUCGUUCAAAACUGGUCGACUAGAGAGCAGUAGGGGAAGGUGGAAUUCCGGGUGUAGUGGUGAAAUGCGUAGAUAUCCGGAGGAACACCAGUGGCGAAGGCGGCCUUCUGGACUGCAACUGACGCUCAGACGCGAAAGCUAGGGGAGCAAACGGGAUUAGAUACCCCGGU